UCUUCUGAACAAGCCCAUAUCUCAGAUCAGGUGUAUUGGUCAUACCUUCUUCUGAACAAGCCCAUAUCUCAGAUCAGGUGUAUUGGUCAUACCUUCUUCUGAACAAGCCCAUAUCUCAGAUCAGGUGUAUUGGUCAUACCUUCUUCUGAACAAGCCCAUAUCUCAGAUCAGGUGUAUUGGUCAUACCUUCUUCUGAACAAGCCCAUAUCUCAGAUCAGGUGUAUUGGUCAUACCUUCUUCUGAACAAGCCCAUAUCUCAG